GUUCCUUAGCUCAGUAGCAGAGCAUCUGUUUUGCAUGCAGAAGGUCCCAGGUUCAAUCUUGGCAUCUCCA